AUUGAACGCUGGCGGCAUGCCUUACACAUGCAAGUCGAACGUGAAAGGGGGGCAACCCCCGAGUAGAGUGGCGGACGGGUGAGCAACACAUCGGAACGUACCCAGUAGUGGGGGACAACCUCGAGAAAUCGAGGCUAAUACCGCAUACGACCCACGGGUGAAAGCGGGGGACCGCAAGGCCUCGCGCUAUUGGAGCGGCCGAUGUCCGAUUAGCUUGUUGGUGGGGUAACGGCCCACCAAGGCGACGAUCGGUAGCUGGUCUGAGAGGAUGAUCAGCCACACUGGGACUGAGACACGGCCCAGACUCCUACGGGAGGCAGCAGUGGGGAAUUUUGGACAAUGGGGCAACCCUGAUCCAGCCAUGCCGCGUGCGGGAAGAAGGCC
rnacentral:rRNA from 1 species